rnacentral:rRNA from 1 species
UCAAAGAUUAAGCCAUGCAUGUCUAAGUACAUGCCGUAUUAAGGCGAAACCGCGAAUGGCUCAUUAAAUCAGUUAUGGUUCCUUGGAUCGUACCUUACUACUUGGAUAACUGUGGCAAUUCUAGAGCUAAUACAUGCAGCAGAGCUCCGACCUUCGGGAACGAGCGCUUUUAUUAGACCAAAACCAAUCGGGCCUCGUGUCCGUCUCUUGUGGUGACUCUGUAUAACUUUGGGCUGAUCGCACGGGCUCGUCCCGGCGACGUAUCUUUCAAGUGUCUGCCUUAUCAACUGUCGAUGGUAGGUUACGCGCCUACCAUGGUCGUAACGGGUGACGGGGAAUCAGGGUUCGAUUCCGGAGAGGGAGCCUGAGAAACGGCUACCACAUCCAAGGAAGGCAGCAGGCGCGCAAAUUACCCACUCCCAGAACGGGGAGGUAGUGACGAAAAAUAACAAUACGGGACUCUUUUGAGACCCCGUAAUUGGAAUGAGUACACUCUAAAUCCUUUAACGAGGAUCCAUUGGAGAGCAAGUCUGGUGCCAGCAGUCGCGGUAAUUCCAGCUCCAAUAGCGUAUAUUAAAGUUGUUGCGGUUAAAAAGCUCGUAGUUGGAUCUCAGCUCCGGCCGGACGGUCCGCCUACCGGUGGUCACUGUUCGUCGCCGAGCGUUCAGGCGGUUAUUCUUGAUGAUCUUCACCGGUUGUCUCGGGUGACCGCCAAGUUUACUUUGAAAAAAUUAGAGUGCUCAAAGCAGGCGCGACGCCUGAAUAAUUGUGCAUGGAAUAAUGGAAUAGGACCUCGGUUCUAUUUUGUUGGUUUUCGGAACACGAGGUAAUGAUUAAGAGGGACAGACGGGGGCAUUCGUAUUGCGACGCUAGAGGUGAAAUUCUUGGACCGUCGCAAGACGAACUACUGCAAAAUUGAAACUUAAAGGAAUUGACGGAAGGGCACCACCAGAAAUGGAGCCUGCGGCUUAAUUUGACUCAACACGGGAAAACUUACCCGGCCCGGACACAGGAAGGAUUGACAGAUUAAGAGCUCUUUCUUGAUUCUGUGGGUGGUGGUGCAUGGCCGUUCUUAGUUGGUGGGGCGACUUGUCUGGUUAAUUCCGAUAACGAACGAGACUCUAGCCUACUAAAUAGACGUUCCGAUCCUCUUGAGUCGGACGUUCUUCUUAGAGGGACAAGCGGCGUUUAGCCGCACGAGACAGAGCAAUAACAGGUCUGGGAUGCCCUUAGAUGUCCGGGGCCGCACGCGCGCUACAUUGAAGGAAUCAGCGUGUGCUUUCCCUGUCCGACAGGACUGGGUAACCCGUUGAACCUCCUUCGUGCUGGGGAUUGGAGAUUGUAAUUGUCCUCCAUGAACGAGGAAUUCCCAGUAAGCACGAGUCAUCAGCUCGUGUUGAUUACGUCCCUGCCCUUUGUCCACACCGCCCGUCGCUACUACCGAUUGAAUGAUUUAGUGAGGUCUUCGGACUGGCGCUCGGAUUGGCCUUCGCGGUCGAGCCGGUGUGCCGGAAAGAUGACCAAACUUGAUCAUUUAGAGGAAGUAAAAGUCGUAACAAGGUUUUCGUAGGUGAA